rfam:Gossypium hirsutum cultivar TM-1 chromosome 7, whole genome shotgun sequence
CGACCUUAGGUUAGGCGGGAUUACCUACUAAGUUUAAGCAUAUCAUUAAGCCGAGGAAAAGAAACUUACCAGGAUUCCCCUAGUAAUGGCGAGCGAACCGGGAAAAGCCUAGCUUAAUAAUCGAGCACCAUCGGCAUCUGAAUUGUAGUAUGUAGAACCAUCCUCAGCGGGGGACCAGGCCCAAGUCUUUUAUAAAGGGGCACCGGAGAGGGUGAGAGCCCCGUCGUGCUCGGACCCUAUCACACCACGAGGCGCUAUCUACGAGUCGGAUUGUUUGGGAAUGUAGCCCUGAUUAGGCAGUAAAUUUCAUCCAAGGCUAAAUACGGGUGAGAGACUGAUAGCGAACAAGUACCUCGAAAGAAAGAUAAAAAGGACUUUGAAAAGAAAGACAAAGGGUGCUUGAAAUUGUCAGGAGGAAAGCGGAUCGGGGUUGGCAAUGAGCCCCGAGAGGAUGUGGAGCGGUGAGAGACGGUCCACCAAUCGGCUAGGGCAUGGACCAACGUGGGUCAUGGUGGCAGCCUAUGCCCGGGACUUUGAUACACCCAUGGAGACGUCGUAGCCUCAAUCGUGAGAUCCAGCACCUGUCGUCUUAACGUGGUUCGGCACCUGAAUGCUCCGGGCGUCGGCUUAUGGGCUCCCCAUUUGGCUCGUCUUGGAACACGGGCCAAGGAGUCUGACAUGUGUGUGAGUCAACGGGUUAAAAACCCUUAAGGUGAAAUGAAACUGAUUGGCGGGAUCCCUCACGGGUGCACCGUGAACCGGACUUGAUCUUCUGAAAAGGGUUCGAGUGAGAGCAUGCCUCUUAAGACUCCAAAGAUGGUGAGCUAUGCCUGAGCAGGGCAAAGCCUGUUGAAACUCUAGUGGAGGCCCGCAGCGAUACUGCCGUGCAAAUUGUUCGUCUAACUUGGGUAUAGGGGUGAGAGACUAAUCAAACCAUCUAGUAGCUAGUUCCCUCUGAAGUUUCCCUCAGGAUAGCUGGAGCCCUUUGCGAGUUCUGUCAGGUAAAGCCAAGGAUUAGAGGCAUCGGGGGUGAAACACCCUCGACCUAUUCUCAAACUGUAAAUAGGUAAGAUGGUGCGGCUACUUCAUUGAGCCGCGCCAUGGAAUCGAGAGCUCCAAGUGGGCCAAUUUAGGUAAGAAAAAAUGACUAUGCGGGAUGAACCGAAAGCCAGGUUACGGUGCCUAACUACGCGCUAACCUAUAACCCACAAAGGGUGUUAGUCGAUAAAGACAGCAAGACAGUGGUCAUGGAAGUCGAAAUUCGCUAAGGAGUGUGUAACAACUCACCUGUCGAAUCAAAUAGCCUCAAAAAUAGAUAGAGCUUAUGCGUACGACCUAUACCCGGUCGUCGGGGUAAGGGCCAGGCACCGAUGAAUAGGAGGGUGAGGUGGUCACUGCAAAACCCUGGGCGCGAGCCCGAGUGAAGUGGCCAUCGGUGUAGAUCUUGGUGGUAGUAGCAAAUAUUCAGAUGAGAACUUUGAAGGCCGAAAAGGGGAAAGGUUCCAUGUGAACGGCACUUACACAUGGGUUAGUCGAUCCUAAGAGACGAGGGAAGCCCGUCUGAUAGUGCGCCUAAUGCGAGUUUUGAAAGAGAAUCGGGUUAAAAUUCUAAAACAGGGAUGCAGCGGCUGACAAUAAUGUUAGGGACUCUGAAAACGUCAGCAAGGGCCUCGAAAUGAGUUAUCUUUUCUUUUUAAUGACCUGCCCACUCUAGAAAGGGCUCAGCUGGAGGUAAGGUCCAGCGGCCGGAAGAGCACCGCAUAUCAUGUGGUGUCCGAUGCGGCCCCGACAGCCCUUGAAAAUCUAGAGGACUGAGUGUCGAUCGUACUCAUAACAGCAUCAGGUCUCCAAGGUGAACAGCCUCUGGUCAAUGGAACAAUAUAGGCAAAGGAAGUCGGCAAAAUGGAUUUGUAGCCUCGGGAAAAGGAUUGGCUCUAAUAGUUGGGCAUGGGGGUCCUAGUCCCGAACUCGUCGCCUGUCGGUGUACUGCUCAAGCUACUCUCAUGGCGAGAGCGGGUCGUCACGUGCUGCCCAGGGGACGAACUGGGAACGGCUCCCUCGGGGGCCUUCCCCGAGCGACGAACAGUUGACUCAAAAACAGGUAUAGACAAGGGGAAUCUGACUAUUUAAUAAAAACAAAGCAUUGCGAUGGUCCCUAUGGAUGCUCACGUAAUGUGAUUUCUGCCAAGUGCUCUGAAUGUCAAAGUGAAGAAAUUCAACCAAGCGUGGGUAAAUGGCGGGAGUAACUAUGACUCUCUUAAGGUAGCCAAAUACCUCGUCAUCUAAUUAGUGAUGAAUGUGAAUGAAUUAACUAGAUUCCCACUGUCCUUGUCUAUUGUCUAGUGAAACCACAGCCAAAGGAACGAGCUUGGUAGAAUCAUUGGGGAAAUAAGACCCUGUUGAGCUUGCCUCUAGUCCAACUUUGUAAAAUGACUUGAGAGGUGUAGAAUAAGUGGGAGCUCUCGGGCAAAAUUAAAAUACCACUACUUUUAACGCUAUUUACUUAUUCCGUGAAUCAGAGGCGGGGCACGACCCCUCUUUUUAGACCCAAGGUCGGCUUCAGCUGAAUGAUCCGAGCAGAAGACAUUGUCAGGUGGGGAGUUUGGCUGGGUAGCACAUCUGUUAAAAGAUAACGCUGGUGUCCUAAGAUGAGCUCAACAAGAACAGAAAUCUCAUGUGGAACAAAAGGGUAAAAGCUCAUUUAAUUCUGAUUUCCAAUACGAAUAUUAACAGUGAAAGCAUGGCCUAUUGAUCCUUUAAACCUUCAGAAUUUGAAGUUAGAGGUGUCAGAAAAGUUACCACAGGGAUAAUUGGCUUGUGGAAGCCAAACAUUCAUAGCGAUGUUGCUUUUUGAUCCUUCGAUGUCGGCUCUUCCUAUCAUUGUGAAGCAGAAUUCACCAACUGUUGGAUUGUUCACCCACUAAUAGGGAAUGUGAGCUGGGUUUAGACCAUCGUGAUACAGGUCAGUUUUUCCCUACUAAUGCCGCAUCGCAAAAUUAAUUCAACCUAGUGCGAGAGGAACCAUUGAUUCGCACAAUUGGUCAUCGCGCUUGGUUGAAAAGCUAGUGGCACGAAGCUACCAUGCACUUGAUUAUGACUGAAUGCUUCUAAGUCAGAAUCCAGACUAGAAGUGACGCACGCGCUCAUCACCCGAUUCCCAACCCACAGUAGGGGCCUCUGUCCCCUAAGGGCACAUGUCGUAAGUGUAGUGACUGCAGCGGACAAGUUGCGGGCGCCUCCUUGAAACGUAAUUCCUACCGAUGGUAGAAUCCUUUGCAGACAACUUAAAUAUGCGACUGUUAGAAUUUCGGCACCCCUACGGUGCAGCAAAAAUUAAUUCAUCUGGUGAUCCAA